rnacentral:rRNA from 1 species
CCUACGGGAGGCAGCAGUGAGGAAUAUUGGUCAAUGGGCGUAAGCCUGAACCAGCCAAGUAGCGUGCAGGACGACUGCCCUAUGGGUUGUAAACUGCUUUUAUGCGGGGAUAAAUGAUAUCACGUGUGAUGUUUUGCAGGUACCGCAUGAAUAAGGACCGGCUAAUUCCGUGCCAGCAGCCGCGGUAAUACGGAAGGUCCUAGCGUUAUCCGGAUUUAUUGGGUUUAAAGGGAGCGUAGGCCGUUUUAUAAGCGUGUUGUGAAAUGUACGGGCUCAACCUGUGAUUUGCAGCGCGAACUGUAUGACUUGAGUACGUUGGAAGUAGGCGGAAUUCGUGGUGUAGCGGUGAAAUGCUUAGAUAUCACGAAGAACUCCGAUUGCGAAGGCAGCCUACUGUGUCGUAACUGACGCUGAAGCUCGAAAGGGCGGGUAUCGAACAGGAUUAGAUACCCCAGUAGUC